AAAAGAAGACCCUUAAUCAGGCGGACGGGAGGGCUGCUAGGAUCCGCGGCGUUCCCUCCUGCGGGGCCAGAGAGCUGCAUGGGAAACACAGCGAGACAAGAAGACAUGGGCACUUUCGCUGGUCUUGAAGCUCUGCAGUCCGGGGGUCGCUAAGGAAGAGGAGGAUGCUCAUGGGGACGCAUCACUCCCGGAAGCCGUCUGUGGGACCAGCCUUUGGCGCCGAGGACCAGGCGACACAGACCUGCCGCGGGAUGCAACGGGUGGCGCGGGCCUGGCCUCCUGCCUUCACACUGGCCACUGUCAGCUCCAGAUGGCGGGGCUCUGCGCUGGGCCGCGGCUCGGUGGCGACGGAGGCGGCCUGACCUGGCGCUGCGCCCCGACUCGCGCGCAGACAUAGGAGUCUGCUUAAAAACGCACUAGGACUUCGCACCGUCCCUCAGCAGCAGCUGGGAGGCCACCCAAGUCGGCGACAUUGAGGCAAUAGUCAGACAGUCCUCAGCGGCUGAGACCCCCGGUGGGUCCGGCCGCUGCGACUCGAUGGUUCCCUAGGCUCCGACCCCUGUGUCCAGUCUGCGCUUUCCUGCCACGCCAGGCAGGGACCGGUGGCCCCUGGGGACCAAGAAUAGUCUACAAUGAGCGCCCCGAGGGUGCAGGGCUGCAGGGACCCAGUGGCGAGCGGAGCUGAGUUGGGCAGGCGGGAGGAGUCGACUCGAGCCGCUCCAAGGAAACCCCAGAAGGAAACGCCCAGAAGCGAAGGACGCAGGACCGUCGCCCGCUGCGGGGAGUGCCCCCCACGGCAGGCAUCGCGGAGCCAGCUCCUCGGCAGCGUGGGGACACCACCCGGGAACGCCGCGGGCUGACCAAGGGCGACCCAGGCCCUAAAGCUGCGACACUGGGCCGGUAUUUCCCACAAACGCAGGGCAGAGGAAUGGACCGCAGUGGCCUGGCCUGGAGUGCCGCUACGACGCCGUCCCCAGCGUCGAAGGAAGUGAAUUACAUGCGUGUGCACACACGUAAAUAUUUUAUAAACCUCCCCUUAAUUAACCAGAUCAUUUCCAUUAUGCCUCCAAUAUGAACAACAGCAACGGUGUGAGAGUUCUCAGGGCUUCUAAUUUGAUGUCACCAGACGGUUGCUCGGGGGCAGAGGCACCAUCGCCGUGCCAGCUGCACUUGUAUUUAUUUGUUUUUCUGCCUUGUUCCUGUAGGGCUCCAUUAUGCGGUUUUUAAUUAGUUUGUGUUUGUAUUUCACCCGUCCCAAAUCAAUGCCAUCCCGAAGCAAGGCGAUGUAAAUUCUCUCAGUACAGGUGUAGCUGCCUGCGCGGGUACACCGGCGAACGCGUGUCUGACAAAUGAAAGCGGGGCCGCUGCGCAGCCGACUGUCAGCUCUCGGCAGCGGAGAGGCGCGGAUCAAAGCCAGCGGGACUUCUGCGCCCCCGUGAGCGCCGUCGUGGCUGCGGCUCCUAAUGUCAUUAGAGGAGGCCGGGCUGAGCACGGCGUGAGGAACAAAGUGACUUUUCAUUUUGCUCAGGUCCUCUGGUCUUUGGGCCAGCGCUGGCCUCAGAAUCGCCUCCCGCUUGGGGCCUAUAGGAUGCAGCUGAAACCGCAGUGGCUUCCGCCAGAAUCCCUGGCUGUGCGCACCCGCACCCGCAGUGACCCAGCGCCCUGGGAUCACUGUGGCUUCCCAACGGGUCCCGCUAACCUUAACCCGCAGCCUUAAGCUGAACCUGCCCUGGAAUCUCUAGACAGGAGACAUCCCCUCUCCGUGUUGUGUUUGCAUCUCCGCCUUCUUGAAAUGACCUCUGUGGAGCGCAUGUGUAUCUAUUCUUCCAGCCAUGGGGAAUUCUUUUAAAGCUUUCUUUUUUUGUCAGGAACAAGAGAUAGCUCAUCUUUAACUAGGCCACAUAGAAAUUAUGAUUCAACAGCAGUGUAUAUUUAAUUAGAGUAAUCUCACUUGAAUUUAAUUACCUAAUGAAUUAUUUGUUUAAAAGGUAGAACGUCUUGUUUGCCAAGUACCGUGCAGACCUCCGAUAAGAAUUUCUGUUACGAGGACGUUACAGUUUAAGAGCAGACAUGUGUAAGGGUUCUAUUUUAACUCUUUGAGUAUGUGACUGUUACUGUACACGCCAACAAAAACUAAGAUGGUGGGUACAGUCUGGUGGGUAGAGUCCGGAGGGCAGUGGGCAUGACCCUGGCCACACAGAGGUGCGCUCCUGUUAUGUACACGUGUGUGCCCAAGUCGCUUUGGAAAUUAAUAUCUUUUGACUGUCAUGUGAGUCGAGUUUAUCUUAAAACUUAUUUCAUGUU